rnacentral:rRNA from 1 species
GACAGGUGCUGCAUGGCUGUCGUCAGCUCGUGUUGUGAAAUGUUGGGUUAAGUCUCGCAACGAGCGCAACCCCUAUCUUUAGUUGCCAGCAUUAAGUUGGGCACUCUAGAGAGACUGCCCGGGUUAACCGGGAGGAAGGUGGGGAUGACGUCAAGUCCUCAUGGCCCUUACGCCUAGGGCCACACACGUAAUACAAUGGUUGAUACAAAGGGAAGCGAUCGCGCGAGCGUUAGCAAAUCUCAAAAAGUCAAUCUCAGUCCGGAUUGGAGUCUGCAACUCGACUCCAUGAAGUUGGAAUCGCUAGUA